rnacentral:rRNA from 1 species
GACGAACGCUGGCGGCGUGCUUAACACAUGCAAGUCGAACGGACCGAGUUGAUAGCUUGCUAUUGAUGAGGUUAGUGGCAAACGGGUGAGUAACGCGUAGGCAACCUGCCCUUCAGAUGGGGGACAACACCUCGAAAGGGGUGCUAAUACCGAAUGAUGUUUCCUGGUCGCAUGACCUGGAAACCAAAGGCCGGGCAACCGGUCACUGAAGGAUGGGCCUGCGUCUGAUUAGCUAGUUGGUGGGGGUUAACGGGCCCACCAAGGCGACGAUCAGUAGCCGGUCUGAGAGGAUGAACGGCCACAUUGGGACUGAGGCACGGCCCAAACUCCUACGGGAGGCAGCAGUGGGGAAUCUUCCGCAAUGGGCGCAAGCCUGACGGAGCAACGCCGCGUGAGUGAAGAAGGUUUCGGAUCGUAAAGCGUCUGUUGAGAGGGACGAGAGAUAUAAUCAGGAAAUGGGUUAUAGAGGACGGUACC